UACGGAGGGUGCGAGCGUUGUCCGGAAUUAUUGGGCGUAAAGAGCUCGUAGGCGGUCUGUCACGUCGGCUGUGAAAACCCGAGGCUCAACCUCGGGCCUGCAGUCGAUACGGGCAAACUAGAGUACUGCAGGGGAGACUGGAAUUCCUGGUGUAGCGGUGAAAUGCGCAGAUAUCAGGAGGAACACCGGUGGCGAAGGCGGCCUGCUGGGCAGUUGCUGACACUGAGGCGCGACAGCGUGGGGAGCAAACAGG
rnacentral:rRNA from 1 species